rnacentral:ncRNA from 2 species
ACGUCCGAGGAGCGUUGCAACAAAAUGAUUCCGUCAUUUCUGCCAUAUAGUUGAAAAAUACGGAAAUAUUUUAGCCAGGCUCGGAUUCUUCAAAACGGCGCUCACGUUAC